rnacentral:misc_RNA from 1 species
UGAUGUUUAUUCAUUUGGGGUUGUAUUGGUUGAGCUUGUUACAGGACGGAAAGCAGUAGAUCUUAACCGGCCCAAGGGCCAGCAGUGUCUCACUGAAUGGGCACGCCCUCUAUUGGAGGAGUAUGCUAUAGAUGAACUGAUUGACCCACGGCUAGGGAACUGCUAUUCAGAACAGGAGGUUUAUUGCAUGCUUCAUGCAGCAUCAUUAUGUAUACGGCGGGAUCCUCAUUCUAGGCCUCGCAUGUCACAGGUGAGGAGAAACUUCCAAUAAUUUAGGCUUGUAUUACAAGAAAUGGAAUUAAUAUGGAAAUUUUAUAUCAUUUCUUUCCUCCACAUAUUUUUAGGCAAGUCUUCAAAACAUCCAGAUAGGUUAGCUUGACUAGUACAAUCCCAAUUACAGUAGUUUUGGAUGACACUCUACAUGGAUAUCUGAAAGCCAGGAAUUUUGUAGUAAAAAUAUAAUACAGAUUAUGAAUUCCUUUGCAUGGAUACUUGUGAGAAGUAAAAGACUGUUGGAAAACCUAAGAAGUGCCUUUUAAGGAAGUGUUUAAUUGGAUGGGAAGAUAUCAGGGAUCCUGUUUGUUGAAGAUGGCACAUUUUAUGAUGAGAAACUCUUUGUAGAAAUUUUUUUUUAUGAAUUAGCAAGGGUUCACCACAAACUCUUCUUUCAUGCAUCUAAUAUUCUGGCAUAUUAGAUAUUACUGCUGGUAUUUACGCCUUGCUUUUGUGUACUUGUUUCCCUCUUUUGGGAGAAGGUUCUCCGCAUACUAGAAGGUGACAUGCUAAUGGAUGCAAAUUACACAUCAACACCUGGGUAUGAUUUGGGAAACCAGAGCGGGCGGAUUUGGGCAGAGCAGCAGCAACAUUAUAGUGGUUCGCCGUCAAAUGAGGCAAUGGAAGGGUUCAGUAAGCUCUCUUUGGACACGCUGAGGCCACUGUUAUGGGAAAGGGAUAAAGGCCAGGAGGAUUUCAUGUGAAGAUGAUCUGUGAAAAGUUAAUCCACUGUGAAAAAUCUACGGUAUGCUAAAUAUGUCUCUGGCCCUUUUUGUGUUGUGUACUUGGUUUUUGCCUUCAAUAUUUUGGUUCAAUGCCAUCUAAGAUUUUGCUUUGUAUAGUAGAAGGGAAGUAGGGGUAGUAAUGUUUUGUAAUUCUUUUGGUAAAUGAUAGAAACUGAUGUUAAAUACCAAUAUGCACGAUUUUCUUUAGAAUCAGUGAAGCAGCUUUGAGGAAUUGGGUGUUCUUUGCAUGUAAAUUUGGUUGCAAUUGUGUUUUCCAUAAAGGAAAAAAAAAAAA